rnacentral:rRNA from 1 species
ACGCUGGCGGCAGGCCUAACACAUGCAAGUCGAGCGGAAACGACACUAUCGAUCCUUCGGAUGCGUUAAUGGGCGUCGAGCGGCGGACGGGUGAGUAAUGCCUAGGAAAUUGCCUUGAUGUGGGGGAUAACCAUUGGAAACGAUGGCUAAUACCGCAUAAUGCCUACGGGCCAAAGAGGGGGAUCUUCGGRCCUCUCGCGUCAAGAUAUGCCUAGGUGGGAUUAGCUAGUUGGUGAGGUAAUGGCUCACCAAGGCGACGAUCCCUAGCUGGUCUGAGAGGAUGAUCAGCCACACUGGAACUGAGACACGGUCCAGACUCCUACGGGAGGCAGCAGUGGGGAAUAUUGCACAAUGGGCGAAAGCCUGAUGCAGCCAUGCCGCGUGUAUGAAGAAGGCCUUCGGGUUGUAAAGUACUUUCAGUUGUGAGGAAGGGUGUGRWMUUAAUAGCKKYRYMUCUUGACGUUAGCAACAGAAGAAGCACCGGCUAACUCCGUGCCAGCAGCCGCGGUAAUACGGAGGGUGCGAGCGUUAAUCGGAAUUACUGGGCGUAAAGCGCAUGCAGGUGGUUCAUUAAGUCAGAUGUGAAAGCCCGGGGCUCAACCUCGGAACUGCAUUUGAAACUGGUGAACUAGAGUGCUGUAGAGGGGGGUAGAAUUUCAGGUGUAGCGGUGAAAUGCGUAGAGAUCUGAAGGAAUACCAGUGGCGAAGGCGGCCCCCUGGACA